AGCAAAUAAUCUUUUUUUACAAAAUAGAAGUGGUUACAUAGUGAUAUACUGAAUAGAAAUAAGAGAACUAAAGAAUAUCAUAUAAUUAACUCUAUCUGUUUAUGAAUAGUCUUUAUUCUCAUACAACCCUGAUAUAACUGUGAACUAAAGAAAUUCUACAUAACAAAAAUAACCUUACCACAGUAGAAAAAAACAUUUGAUACAAACUGCUGAAUGAAAAUUAUGGCACCAUUUUCACCAGCCCUUCAAGAACAAGCAUACCCGAAUAUCCAUAAUAAUGGUCAGCAUCACUCUGCUCAGAUAUCUAACUCUCCAAUCAGUUUCCUCGGCUGUGCAAGCGAAUCAACCCAAAGAUAACUUACUGAGACAGUAACAAGGUGUUUAUCCGGUUUCUAGACAGUUGCAAAGAAGAAUGCCAUAGAGAGGAUCAACGUCACCACUAGCUUUAGCGAAGAAACCUUCCAUACAGUACCAGCAUUUGGCAUAUACGGAUAUGAAUCAGGUUGAGGCAUGACACAGUUAUCACCGUUGAAAUAAACUCUGUGUGGGAAAGCCCACCCCUUCUCAAAAGUGAAAGUCGACAUAUCCUUGCGGAAUAGAAGCUCAGACUGGACAUUUCCUAAUGGACCAGCUUGCAUGAGCAGAUCGUUGUAGAAUUUCAUACCCCAGAGCAUAGCAGUGUCAUUUAUUGCUCCAUAAGGAGUUAAUGACUUGUAAUGAAAGCUGAAUAACUGAGUGAGGUUGUCGAAAUUGGGAUGCUGGACAACUAAGUUCCAUUGCGUAUAAUUCAUAUUGUAAUUGAAGUUAGUUAUAGUGACCUUCACCCUCCAAUACUCCUUGUAGUUGAGUUUCACAUGCCAGUGAAUUCUAAUAGGGCACAUAUGACUAGUGCACUGAACCAAAGGAGCAUAAUUGUUUUUUCCAAGGCCUGAAACAACUGAAGCUAAGUGUGGUUCGUCUUGAUCUACACAAUUUCCAUGCUGGGUACCAUUCUUCUGGCAGCCACAAGUGCAUGUUGGACACGGUACAAUGGUGUCAUUGUAGAAGGAUGAAAGGGAGACACAGCAUGUAGGAGUCUUUUGAGCUAGGAACUGUGAGUAUGUGCAUGUGACAUUCCAAGUCAUCAUGGCUUGUGUUAUUCGUCUCCCAUCACCACUAGAGAACUUGGUGGGUUUAACAACUUUAGCGGGUCCACAAGUAUAACCAGGCCCUGGUGCCUUAAGGGUGAAAUUCUUAGGAACUCUAACUGUUUUAUUUGUUGUCCCAGCUGCACCAACACUGACUUGGAAUGAGCUAACGGCAGUUUCAGGAUCUUGUCCCCAUGAGUUGAUCACUCCUCCCUUACAGCAAUUUGCAAUCUGCUGAUUGUAAGGAGUUCCGGGCAGUAAAUCGACGACGGUUGGAUCCCUCUUGCAGCAAUGGGGAAUGUUUCCUUUAAAUUUUGAACAAUCUCCUUGCUCUGUUGUUUGAGCUCCCAUCAUGCCCCAUAUCACCUCCUUCUUCGCCCAUGUCCAUCCCAACGUCCAACCUGGUGCUUGAAUAUGUCUGUAUUGUUGGAAGUUAAACAUAGUCACAACAGCAACAUAUCCAUCAGGUGUCCAGCUGAUGACAUCCCAUUUGAUUGUGAUGUUCCCAUUGGGGUCAAGUGCGUCGAAAGCAUCUGUUGCUGAAAAGCUGAAGCAUGACAACAAGAAGACUAAUAAUAUGGUAGAUCUGAAGAACUCCAUAGACCCUUCUUUAGCUGCAGCAGAUUUUCUCUGUAGGCAAUGUCUGUUCAAGAUCUGCUAAAAUGAGAGUAAAAGAGGAGGAGAAAAAUCUUGGCGGUGAGUGGCAGCUGGAAGUGAGCUCACAUGGCAACUUAGUCUAUUGAAGCUAAA
rnacentral:misc_RNA from 1 species